rnacentral:lncRNA from 1 species
CUCUCCCUUAGUUUGCUACUCAAGUUGUACCAAAAAGCCGCUGCAUACUUUAUGCAAAACAUUCUCCAUUUGUUGUGUGCAAAUCGUUGUUAUGUCGCCCCCACGUUUCCCAUGCAAUGUCACAUGUUUCUCCUUAUUGUAAAAUUUCAUAAUUAGUUUCAUAAAAUUCUAAGAAAUAUCACAUAAUGUCGUCAACCAUUUAAUUCUGAGCAUGGCCUCAUGAUUGUUAAGAGGGAGAAGGAAGAAAUCUGCAAUUAUCUCUUGGUCUUGCAGCAAUAGUUUCUCCUACGGGCGCCUACGAUCACAAUUCAAAAUCCG